AUUUUUUCUAAACCCUAAUUUGAAAGUCAACUUUCCAAGACCAUAACUUGCUCAAUUUUUAUGAGAUGAUAGAUUUACAAGUUGCACAAUCAAAUUCAAUGUGUCUACUUCAACUUUGACGUUUGGAGUGAGAGCUAAUUCAACUUUUUUGAGCAUGUGAUAUGAGGCUACAUUAUAGGUCACUUUUGACCUAUACCAUUGAUCAAGUGAUUU
rnacentral:lncRNA from 1 species